AGCGAACGCUGGCGGCAGGCUUAACACAUGCAAGUCGAGCGGGCGUAGCAAUACGUCAGCGGCAGACGGGUGAGUAACACGUGGGAACGUACCUUUUGGUUCGGAACAACUGAGGGAAACUUCAGCUAAUACCGGAUAAGCCCUUACGGGGAAAGAUUUAUCGCCGAAAGAUCGGCCCGCGUCUGAUUAGCUAGUUGGUAGGGUAAUGGCCUACCAAGGCGACGAUCAGUAGCUGGUCUGAGAGGAUGAUCAGCCACACUGGGACUGAGACACGGCCCAGACUCCUACGGGAGGCAGCAGUGGGGAAUAUUGGACAAUGGGCGCAAGCCUGAUCCAGCCAUGCCGCGUGAGUGAUGAAGGCCCUAGGGUUGUAAAGCUCUUUUAACGGGGAAGAUAAUGACGGUACCCGUAGAAUAAGCCCCGGCUAACUUCGUGCCAGCAGCCGCCGUAA
rnacentral:rRNA from 1 species